CGUAAGGCGCCGAAUGAGUCAUUAAAAAAUUAACAUCAUCCGAUCCCUAGUCGGCAUAGUUUAUGGUUAAGACUACGACGGUAUCUGAUCGUCUUCGAUCCCCUAACUUUCGUUCUUGAUUAAUGAAAACAUCCUUGGCAAAUGCUUUCGCAGUAGUUAGUCUUCAAUAAAUCCAAGAAUUUCACCUCUGACAAUUGAAUACUAAUGCCCCCAACUAUCCCUAUUAAUCAUUACGUCAAUCCUAGAAACCAACAAAAUAGGAUCGAACGUCCUAUUUCAUUAUUCCAUGCUAAUGUAUUCAAGCGUUAGCCUGCUUUAAACACUCUAAUUUUUCAAAGUAACAGUCCAGUUUCCCCGCAACACCAAAUUAAUGGCAUUACGGUUCAUCAGGAAGGAGGAAUCAGUAAGACCAGUGCAUACCAGAGGCAUGACCAAUCUACUAACCCCGAAUUCAACUACGAGCUUUUAACUGACAACAACUUUAAUAUACG
rnacentral:rRNA from 1 species